CAGUCGCCGCGGGAAUACGGAGUGUGCGAGCGUUAUCCGGAUUUAUUGGGUUUAAAGGGUCCGUAGGCGGGCCUGUAAGUCGGAGGUGAAAUCCCGCGGCUCAACCGCGGAACCGCCUUCGAUACUGCGGGUCUUGAGUAGGCUUGAGGCGGCCGGAAUGAGUGGUGUAGCGGUGAAAUGCAUAGAUAUCACUCAGAACACCGAUAGCGAAGGCAGGUCGCCAAGGCCUUACUGACGCUGAUGGACGAAAGCGUGGGGAGCGAACAGGAUUAGAUACCCCGGUAGUCCCUGUCUCUUAUAC
rnacentral:rRNA from 1 species